rnacentral:rRNA from 1 species
UAGUAGCGGCGAGUGAAGCGGCAAAAGCUCAAAUUUGAAAUCUGGCACUUUCGGUGUCCGAGUUGUAAUUUGAAGAUUGUAACCUUGGGGUUGGCUCUUGUCUAUGUUUCUUGGAACAGGACGUCACAGAGGGUGAGAAUCCCGUGCGAUGAGAUGCCCAAUCCUAUGUAAGGUGCUUUCGAAGAGUCGAGUUGUUUGGGAAUGCAGCUCUAAGUGGGUGGUAAAUUCCAUCUAAAGCUAAAUAUUGGCGAGAGACCGAUAGCGAACAAGUACAGUGAUGGAAAGAUGAAAAGAACUUUGAAAAGAGAGUGAAAAAGUACGUGAAAUUGUUGAAAGGGAAGGGUUUGAGAUCAGACUCGAUAUUUUGUGAGCCUUGCCUUCGUGGCGGGGUGACCCGCAGCUUAUCGGGCCAGCAUCGGUUUGGGCGGUAGGAUAAUGGCGUAGGAAUGUGACUUUGCUUCGGUGAAGUGUUAUAGCCUGCGUUGAUGCUGCCUGCCUAGACCGAGGACUGCGAUUUUAUCAAGGAUGCUGGCAUAAUGAUCCCAAACCGCCCGUCUUGAAACACGGACCAAGGAGUCUAACGUCUAUGCGAGUGUUUGGGUGUUAAACCCGUACGCGUAAUGAAAGUGAACGUAGGUGAGGGCUCUUUUGAGUGCAUCAUCGACCGAUCCUGAUGUCUUCGGAUGGAUUUGAGUAAGAGCAUAGCUGUUGGGACCCGAAAGAUGGUGAACUAUACCUGAAUAGGGUGAAGCCAGAGGAAACUCUGGUGGAGGCUCGUAGCGGUUCUGACGUGCAAAUCGAUCGUCGAAUUUGGGUAUAGGGGCGAA